AAAAAAAAUUAUUUUUAGGUGUUCCGACUGUCUGUCUCUUGACUACUUGACACUAUUAUUAUCCAAAAAAAACUUCAAAGGUGUUGUUGGUUAGUCUGCUGUGCAAACAAAAAAGAUUCAUAAAAUGAAAGUUUUCGUUACAAAAAUCUUAGUUGCUUACCGAGUAUCGGAUGCACCGUUUUAAAGUCCGCCAUAAACUGGAAAUAUGUUCAUAAAUUAAAAGUUUAAUAAACUUUUUUUCUUAUUUUCUAUACUAUAUGUAACUUUUACUUUUAUUCAGUUUUUGUUCAGAGCAUUUGUAAUUUUAAUGGUUGUUCAGAGCAAGCAUUUGUAAUUUUAAUGGUUGUACAGAGCAAGCAUUUGUAAUUUUAAAGGUUACAUUGAUAUGUUCAUAAGUUAAAUUGUGGUCAAUUUUUUUUUUUAAUCCAAAAAACUUUACUUUUAA